UUCAUUUAGUUGGUUUUGUUCUUAAGAAGAAGAAAAAAA
rnacentral:sRNA from 1 species